UGGGGAAUAUUGCACAAUGGGGGAAACCCUGAUGCAGCGACGCCGCGUGAGCGAAGAAGGCUUUCGAGUCGUAAAGCUCUGUCCUAUGAGAAGAUAAUGACGGUAUCAUAGGAGGAAGCCCUGGCUAAAUACGUGCCAGCAGCCGCGGUAAUACGUAUGGGGCGAGCGUUGUCCGGAAUUAUUGGGCGUAAAGGGUACGUAGGCGGUCUAUUAAGUCAGGUGUGAAAGCGUGAGGCUUAACCUCAUUAAGCACUUGAAACUGAUAGACUUGAGUGAAGGAGAGGAAAGUGGAAUUCCUAGUGUAGCGAUGAAAUGCGUAGAUAUUAGGAGGAAUACCGGUGGCGAAGGCGACUUUCUGGACUUUUACUGACGCUCAGGUACGAAAGCGUGGGGAGCAAACAGG
rnacentral:rRNA from 1 species